rnacentral:lncRNA from 1 species
ACAGAUGUAUGUCACACCUUCAUCAUAAUUUAGGAAAUUUUGAUCAUAAAUUACAGGCAUGAUCCAUAGUUAUUAACUUACAUAUAAAAUGAGUAAAUUUUACCAAAAAGUUUGAAGUCACAAAAUAUUAUUAACAGUUAAAUCAUAUCGAAAUAAAUGCCUGCUCUAUCACAAAAAAUUCAAAAUUCAAAAUAAUAAGAUACUUUAACAUUAUUAUCUAUCUUGCUACUGCUGCUCAUCUCACUCGAAAAGAGUAUUCACAAAUGAUAAUACUUCUGCUCAUAUCUCUUCUAAGCAACCUGAUCAACAUUGUAAUCAAUGAGACAUCCUUGGUGCUCAAAAGGUGAAGUUCUCCUAAUACUUCACUCCUUGUUUGCUUUAAUGAUUGGCACAUAAUCAAAUCAAGGACUGCUAAUCUCUUGGGCAUAUAUCAGAUCAAACAAGAGGACAUUCUACACAAUUGUUUCCCUCUUACUAAAACUGAAGGUAAUGGCCUUCGAGUGCUUUUUCGCACACUUUAUCUGCUACCAACAUGUGCCUACAGUGGAAACAUAUUUUGGCCCCUUGUCUAGCUUACAGCACCCGUUCCUUACCACCCACUUCGGCUUCUUCGGCUGCGGGGCCACUGGAAAUAUCUCGAGGAACGCCUGCACCCUGGCUCCUUCAGUUCAAUGGUGGUACUGUUUUUCAUGAAAAUACUUGUAUCAAGAUUGAGUUAAUGGUGAUCUUUGUUUGGCUUUGUGCUAUUUUUUUGUCGAACCUUCAUCCAUAGCACAAGAAAGGUUGUAAUUCUUAGCUGAUGCACUUCUCUAACUGAAAAGCUAUGUAUAAAAAUGACUGGUCCUAAGGUACUCCUGUUAUCAUUCAUCCCGUCAAAACACGACUAAAUUGCUCC